AAAAAUGACCAAUUCUUGUUUGAACUUGCUUUUCUUUCUAAAUUGGAAAACGAGAUGGCGCUGCUGCUCCUUUAUACUUGUUAUGUGAUCAAGCUCUAUGUGACUAGUGAAAACCGUAUCCCAAUAUUUGUUAAUUAUAUUACUUUCCAAUUUAAAGUUCGAUCAAAUCAAAUGGUUUUUCAUCUACUAUCAAGUGUUUUUCAAGUGAAGCAUAUCAAUGGAUUAUUUUGUGUCUAACAGGUAAUUUUGUUAUCAGCUAUGCCUGCUGCCAAAUCCAAAAACUGUUGGUUACUUGUCACUAAGAGAUUCCAUCAUGCUUUUCUAUUGCUCAUUAGGAGUAGCUCGUUAAACUAAAAUCGCAAAGGAUGCUGACUUGCAAUCUUCUUGUCAUUUCCACUGAGCCGGGCAAGUGGCAUGAUUUAGUUUUGAGGGUUGAGCUCAUAAACUAAAAGUGCAAAGGAUGCUGGCUCUGAAGGAAGAUCACUCUUGACCCACUCAUCUUGUAUCAGCAGUCUUCUUUUUAUUUCUACUCUGAUGGCCAACACACAUAGAUGUGAACCUCAGAACUACUACUCCUUGGAUUGCCAACCCAACGUGUCUUUAAAAAAAUUGCCGGCCCUACAAUUUUGACAACAGGCGUAUGUAAAAAAAAGCCCCUUCUUCACCUCGCCCGUCACCGAAUCGCCCGUCAUCGCUUUGCCCGUCGCCGAAUCGCCUGUCAUUGCUUUGCCCGUCAUCGCUUUGCCCGUCGCCGAAUCGCCCGUCAUCGCUUUGCCCGUCGCCGAAUCAAAUUUUUAUUUCUGCACGAUUUCGACUUCAGAAAUAUUAUCAAUCUCCAUUUUUAACUGCACGGGGAUUUGAACCCAGAUCAUUCGGCAUACCAACACGGUAUACUACCAUUGAGCUAUGACUGAUGUAAUUGAAAACUCAAAUUAUUAAUGUUUAUGAGCAGGAGUGUAGAUAGCCUAUUUAAUUUGAUUGCUCCAAUCGUUAUAAGGAGUUUUAUUGAAACGAAAGAUAACAUUAAUUAUAGUGUAACUGAAACAGGAAUCGAACCUGAGACUUUUAAAUUUCCACGCCGAUGUUGAGAAAUUCCCGACCAUUGAGCCAAGAAUUACAUACUUUUAGGCUGUA